UAGGGAAUCUUCGGCAAUGGGGGGAACCCUGACCGAGCAACGCCGCGUGAGUGAAGAAGGUUUUCGGAUCGUAAAGCUCCGUUGUUAAGGAAGAACGAGUGUGAGAAUGGAAAGUUCAUACUGUGACGGUACUUAACCAGAAAGGGACGGCUAACUACGUGCCAGCAGCCGCGGUAAUACGUAGGUCCCGAGCGUUGUCCGGAUUUAUUGGGCGUAAAGCGAGUGCAGGCGGUUAGAUAAGUCUGAAGUUAAAGGCAGUGGCUCAACCAUUGUAGGCUUUGGAAACUGUUUAACUUGAGUGCAGAAGGGGAGAGUGGAAUUCCAUGUGUGGCGGUAAAAUGCGUAGAUAUAUGGAGGAACACCGGUGGCGAAAGCGGCUCUCUGGUCUGUAGCUGACGCUGAGGCUCGAAAGCGUGGGGAGCAAACAGG
rnacentral:rRNA from 1 species